rnacentral:tRNA from 1 species
GGCUCCGUAGCUCAACUGGAUAGAGCAGCUCACUUCUAAUGAGCAGGUUGCAGGUUCGAAUCCUGCCGGAGUCGCCA